AUGUCAGUUUCGUUAUUACAACUUUAUUUUUUUAUGUCAAAGACAAAAAGCUACACGCAAAUUCUCAUUGGAUCUCGGUUCUUCUUAACAGAGAUGGCUAUUCAUUUAAGUCUUCGGGUAGCACCACCAAAUCUUCAACAAGGUGGAAAUUCUCGUAUUUCAUAUGUACAUGUUACUGCGGCUCAGAUGAGUAUAGUUAUUUAUAUCGCGAUAGCUAUAAACAGUUCCUUGUUCCCAUUAACAAAACAUCCCCUUUUUCUUCGCUCUUCCGGAACCGGUAUAGAAGUUAGUGCUUUUUCUACUUUGUUUACGUUAGUGACUGGGGGGUUUUGGGGAAGGCCUAUGUAG
rnacentral:rRNA from 1 species